rnacentral:lncRNA from 1 species
AGUAACAGAUUGUUCCUGGCGGAACCUCUCAUGAAUUCUCUAAUAAAGGGGUUGUGGAUCCAAAUGACUACCACAAUAAAUCUCCCACUAUAGCAAUCCUAUGCAUUUCUACGCAGAAGUAAAUCUAUUUAAUUUACAGAUAAAUGAGUAUCGGUCAUGUCGUAAGACUGUCUUGUAUGGUAUUAAUAUCUUAAAUUUUAAAACGUAUAGUGCUAUAUAAUAGGUGUCCCAGACCUGGCUUCCUAGAGAUGCGUGGACUACGAAUCCGAUCCUCCCCAGGUAACAGGACCGAUCCAUCCGAGAGGGGCCAGGGAAGGCUGGAUUAAAUGAAGGCCACCGAUAAAAGAAGCCGAGGGACCUUUCAUUCUGCUUGUUAUUUAUGACUACCAGCUCCUGAAUGAGGGAGAGGAAUCAUCUCACAGUGGGGGGAGGUGCAGUCCUGUUUUCUAAGAGCGAUCGCACCUGAUCCCGGUGGCGAUGUCAAACUUUGUCAAGGAGUAAUCCUAAGGCAGGGGUGUGCGGUAUCUGUACUCGAAUAUAAGUCGGCAAGCUUGUGAGUCUUGCACAGCCCUUCAUCAGGCUAAGCAUCGCGGAGCUGAACCUGGGGCGGCGUAACACUGGCGAGUUUCUUUUAUUAAGGGGCCGUGGAUUUCUAACUCUCUCUAUUUGUGCAGCGUCUGCUCUUCCCUCGUCAAAAAGUACGACCGGGGCAUUUCGGAAUAAAAGGGAGAGCCCUCCCUUCCAGUCGGAUUUCCUCCUUAAUGUGUAAAGGGAGGUUUCGUAGAACGGUGCCGGUGCGAUCAGAGGCGCGCAGAGGCUGGACGUGGGGAGGGGAGGGGGGAGGCACGUUUACUUUUCCGAAGCGAUCCCCGUUUGCUCAGCCGGCUUUUACUCCCUGAGGGAAAAACCGUCCUGCCAAUGAAGGGUGCAAAACAGCGAUGUUUAAGCCUCAGGUCGACAUUUGACACCUCCACGGCGUGGAUGACAUCGAUCCUUGUAAUCACCGCGAUUUGGUGUCUUCAGAGCCGAGGCUUUUCUUGUAAAGAAAACAUCUGGGAAUUCCAUUCAUGCCUUAAACGCCAAUUACACACCUUCUUCAAAGGACACGUGCUUUGAUAUGCCAAGACCAUUUAAGUCCGCCCGAAGUCUGAAAGAAAGUUCUGCAAGAGGAGAAGGAAAAGAAACGCCUUUAUUCCUUUUUUUAAAAAAAAUCUGUACAAUGUUUACUGCCUAGAGUAGCGGGUGUGUGUUGUGGGGAAGGGGGAUUGUUUAGUGAAUGAAUCUGACUUUUAAAAUUCUCUGGGACUCACUAAGGCAAGGGCAGGGUCUGGUUUCAAGUCUGUCUUUCUCUGGUUUACUUAAAGAAGACCGAGGAAGAGGGACCCAGAGGGCAAACCGGAACCCAUUUACCUGAACAGACGUGCCAGGAGUAAGCACCAAUAAGCAUAAUAGAUUAUUCGCCAAAGAAAGCAUGAAACUGAGCACUAACUGCAAAUAGAUGUGAUGAAACUGAACAAUAAUAUGCGCAAAGAUCACGCUUUCAUCAGUCUGAACGGAUGCACAGGGUCAAAGAGUCGUGUCUAAACAUGCAUCUGGUGGUCAGUGCUCCUUUCUCGGGGCAUCAUUACCAUUGUUGACAUAGAUAUCCUCUCUUUCCACUAAGGACCUCAAAGCAGCGUACGUGGGUCUCCUCCCAAUACCUUCUUUCCUCCAAAUAACGCGGGGAGGCAGGCCAGUUUCAGCAAGAGACUGAUUUGCCCAGUUAGCUUCCUGGCUCAGUGGAGCCUAGGACUUGAACCUCCCAGAUUCCAGUCGAAAACUCUAACCACUAACCUCAGUGGCAUUCACACCUUUGAACUUUCUGCCCACCUGAUUCUGAUCUAUUGCCUGGAGUACCGA